AUGUUUAUUGUAAAGUAUGAACACUUUCAGCAUACAAAGAGCAUGAGCAUGUCAACUAGAGGAGUAGUGCCGGCUCCGCUCUGCCAGGGCUUUCUGAAGAAACGGAAAGACAAAAUGAGGCUUCGGUGGGUGACUUACUGGUUCAGGCUUUACAAUACAACUCUUUUUUUCUACACUAAAAAACACGGGAGUGCUUUAGAUCUCAGGGGCCAGUAUUACAUAUAUGAGGUUCAGUCUGUGCGGGAGGUCAGCAGAUCAGAGAACAAUCGCUAUCUAUUUGAGAUCACAAUGAAAAAUGGGAAGAAGAAAAUGCUGGCUGCAGAAACAGCUGAUGUCAGACAGGAGUGGAUGGACCAGCUGUGGAAAGCCAUGCUGCUCAAUGGCCCAGACGGAUCUGGAUCUCUCACCGAUGGGGAGCUGGUGCCAGAUAACGACCCUGAAAUUCGUUCUAGCCGGUGUGAAGAAUCAAAUAAUGAGACCAGCAGCACUUCAGUGAACAGCAUUGAUCAAGAGUCAUUCAAGUCCUUCGCUGUUGCUGAUGAGACACAAGACAGUUUGCACACAGGCAAUGAAAUGGAGCAAAGUACUGAGGAGUAUUUACUGACGGACUGUGACUACGAUGUUUUACCAUCUCGAAAACUUGCUGAAGAAGCCAUUUAUGACACUCCCCCUUCCAAAUGGUCAACCAAUGUGGGAGAACAUGAAGUGACUGAUAGCAUCUAUGAUUUCCCAAACCCUGUGAUUAGGAAACUGACUGAACAUACAAUUGAAUCUCACAGCAGUAGUGAGAGGCCUGAGAGCGGUGGUCUUCUGAGUGACAUGAUAGCCUGUUUGGACAGUGAAUCUGCUGCCUGGGUCAAACCUGCUUCUCCGUGAACUUUAUGGGUCAAUUUGAACAAGACUGAGAUGAUGAUAAAUGUUUGUUGUUGCAGUAAUCCUUAAUUUUGUUUGUGAUACAUCCGUUUUCCAUCCAAACAGCCAUCACUUAUGUAGACUGUUCGUUGUGGGAUUUCAAACUGUGCUCAAUCAUCUAAGCUAAACAGGGAAGUGUCAGUAACAUGUCUUUUGUCCUGUCACAAUUCAAAAUAAAUUUUAAUCAAACAAAUGAACCUUUGGAUGG
ensembl:lncRNA